GAUCAUGGCUCAGGAUGAACGCUAGCUACAGGCUUAACACAUGCAAGUCGAGGGGUAGCAGGGUAGCAAUACCGCUGACGACCGGCGCACGGUGAGUAACACGUAUCCAACCUUCCCAUAACUCAGGGAUAGCCUUUCGAAAGAAAGAUUAAUACCUGAUAGUACUUUUUCAAGGCAUCUUGAGAAAGUUAAAGAUUUAUUGGUUAUGGAUGGGGAUGCGUUCCAUUAGAUAGUUGGUGAGGUAACGGCUCACCAAGUCUUCGAUGGAUAGGGGUUCUGAGAGGAAGGUCCCCCCACAUUGGUACUGAGACACGGACCAAACUCCUACGGGAGGCAGCAGUGAGGAAUAUUGGUCAAUGGGCGAGAGCCUGAACCAGCCAAGUAGCGUGAAAGGAUGAAGGUCCUAUGGAUUGUUAAACUUCUUUUAUAGUAGAAUAAAGUGAUCCACGUGUGGAUUUUUGUAUGUAUACUAUGAAUAAGGAUCGGCUAACCCCGUGCCAGCCGCCGC
rnacentral:rRNA from 1 species